GGGCCGAUAGCUCAACGGUAGAGCAGUUGCCUUUUAAGCAAUUGGUUCGGGGUUCGAAUCCCCGUCGGCCUA
rnacentral:tRNA from 1 species